rnacentral:rRNA from 1 species
GUUUAAAGCUACAUGGUUUCCAUGUCGCGUUGUAAAUUCNAGAAACGUUUCUCAUACAGCCCCGGUUUAAGUUCGCUGGAAUGCGAUAUCAUAGAGGGUGAGAAUCCCGUCUGUGACUGGGUGUCUGUGUGUCUACGAUACGUUUUCGAAGAGUCAGGUUGUUUGGGAAUGCAGCCUAAAAUGGGUGGUAAAUUUCAUCUAAAGCUAAAUAUUGCCACGAGACCGAUAGCGAACAAGUACCGUGAGGGAAAGAUGAAAAGAACUUUGAAAAGAGAGUUAAAUAGUACGUGAAACUGUUAAAAGGGAAUCAUAUGAGGCUAGUAUUUGUACUUGUCAUAAUCAAUCAGACGUCUUGAAGCCUAGCAGAUGCAAGAGUGUUAAAGCCUUGUUUUGUUAGUUCGGAUGGAGCGGCUGGUGCACUUGUGAUUUGUUCAGGCCAACAUCAGUUUGAAGUGGUGUAUAUGGCUACUGGGAAGGUGACUUUGGCCCUUGUGGUUAGAGUGUUAUAGCCCUUUAGCACUACAUGGCGUCAGACUGAGGAGUCGCGGAACGUGCCUUUUUGGCUAGCUCCCUGCUUCAUAGGGGUCUCAUCCGAGAAUAUGGGUUCAAUAUCCUGUUUUUGAUGUGAGAUCACUACGAGGUAGGUGCAGUAUAAACGUUUUGAGGAUGUUGGUGAAAUGGCCUUAUCUGUCCCGUCUUGAAACACGGACCAAGGAGUCUAACAUAUAUGCGAGUCUUUGGGUGACAAACCCGCAGGCGCAAUGAAAGUGAAGGCUAACAUGGUUAGCUGAGGUGAGAUCCGCAAGGUGCAUCAUCGACCGAUCUGAAUGGUUUCCUGAAAGAUUUGAGUAAGAGCACAUAUGUUGGGACCCGAAAGAUGGUGAACUAUGCCUGAAUAGGGUGAAGUCUGAAGAAAUUCAGAUGGAAGCUCGUAGCGAUUCUGACGUGCAAAUCGAUCGUCAAAUUUGGGUAUAGGGGCGAAAGACUAAUCGAACUAUCUAGUAGCUGGUUCCCUCCGAAGUUUCCCUCAGGAUAGCUGGAACUAUAACGCAGUUUUAUCAGGUAAAGCGAAUGAUUAGAGGACUCGGUGGCGCAAUGCUGUCGGCCUAUUCUCAAACUUUAAAUAGGUAAGAAGUCUGACUUGCUUAAUUGAAGCCAGACACUGAAUGCAAGUUCCAUGUGGGCCAUUUUUGGUAAGCAGAACUGGCGAUGCGGGAUGAACCGAACGUGAAGUUAAAGUGCCAAAGUACACGCUCACCUAGAACCCAGAAAAGGUGUUGGUAGAUGAAGACAGCAGGACGGUGGCCAUGGAAGUCGGAAUCCGCUAAGGAGUGUGUAACAACUCACCUGCCGAAUCUACUAGCCCUGAAAAUGGAUGGCGCUCAAGCGUGUCACUUAUACUUCACCGUCAGGGCAAAUGCGAAGCUUUGACGAGUAGGAGGGCGUGAAGGUUGUGAAGAAGCCUAGAGCGUAAGCUUGGGUGAAACGGCC